UACGAAGGGGGCUAGCGUUGCCCGGAAUCAUUGGGCGUAAAGAGCGUGUAGGCGGUUCGGUAAGUCUGCUGUGAAAGUCCAGGGCUCAACCCUGGGAUGCCGGUGGAUACUGUCGAACUAGAGUACGGAAGAGGCGAGUGGAAUUCCAGGUGUAGCGGUGAAAUGCGUAGAUAUCUGGAGGAACACCGGUGGCGAAGGCGCUCAUCUGGCCCGAUACUGACGCUGAUGCGCGAAAGCUAGGGGAGCAAACGGG
rnacentral:rRNA from 1 species